UCGUCGAACCCUAGCUUGCAUUCCCCUCCCCUUGCGCCGUUUUUCUUAGUCCCCGUGACAAGCCGAAGCUCCGUCGCCAUGGUCGUCACAAACCUCGCGCCCACCGUCGUCUCCGCCACUUAGGACUGCACCGGGAGCUCCGCCAUCGUCGUCCUCAUCGAACCAAGGCCACAGAUCGGGCUGAUGAGCUUUGCCUCGUCUGGAUCGACCACGUCAACACCACCGGUCCCCGAAGCUCCCCUUCUCCGAUUUGCCUGCUCCCGACCUCCCCCGCGCGUCUGAGCACGCCCACAGCUCAUUGGUGAGCUCAUGCACCUCCUCCCUCUCCUAUUUUUCUCGCGCCCAUCCUCUACGUGGGUUCCCCGCAUCACCGCCGUAGCCGCUCCGCUGUGCCUCACCGUCGUUACUCCUCCGGUGACCAUAUGGUCUGGCUGCGAGUGUCGCUAGUCUCGCGGUGGACUCCUGGUUCAAACACACCUCGCUGCUCCCCUCGUUCUCGAGCCAUAGCACAAGCCCCGCCGGAGCCGAAGCACCGCCUCUGCCGCCCACGACCUCGCCUCCAUGCGCGGCCGCCUGCUCAUGGCCUCGCCCUUGUACAUCUCUAGCUGCGACGCCCGUCCGCGCCCGCCGGCUAUAGCCCUGGCCGCGCGCUCGCGCCGCAUCUGGCCGCGCUCGCCUGCGCGAGGCCGCUCCACGCGCGUGCCCUUCUGCUCGUGGCCGCGACCCCGCCAUCCCGGCGUUGAGGUCUGCCCACUGCUGACGCUCGUCGGUGCCCAGCUCGCCUUCUGCUCGCACGCACCAGCCCCUGUCCUGCGCUCGCCCCGCCACACUCUCCUGCACCCCCGCGCGCCUGUACUGCUGCUGCCCUACAGUUGUUGCUGCUCGAUCGCGUCGUGGCUGCCGCUGGUGCUCUGCUGCUCUUGCUUGCUGCCUGCUGCUGUUCCUGCCACUGCUUGCUUGCGCUGCUGCUUCUUGACCGCCUGUAGCGCCGCCGCUGCUGGCCGUUGACACAGUGCUUUGCGUGUGUGCCCGGCCCAGCCAGGAUGAGGCACGGCUUGUGCCUUGGCACUGGCCAUUGUUUAAUUAGAAGUAUGUUUAGUUAGGAUUAUUUUAGUGCUAAAUUAGCCUAAUAGCAAUUAACGCAUGGGACAACCCCUAUUAAAUAUUGUUUAAUUAAACCACAGACAAUGACACGUGGAUCCCUUAGAAACUACUCCCUCCAUUCCAAAAUUGAUGACCCAACUUUGUACUAAAGUUAAUACAAAGUUGAAUCAUCUAUUUUAGAACGGAGGGAGUAUAUUGCUCAACCCAGUCAAAGUUGACUGUUGACUUGAUGACUCAGCACACCCAGGCCCCACUUGUCAUACACUAGAAUAGAAAUCCCCUAGCACACUUAGCAAUUUUGUUCUAUAAUUCGAGUUAAUAACAAAAUCUAGAAAAUGUUUAAAAUUUUAGAAAAUCAUAAAUAAUAAACCGUAGCUCGGAUAAAAAUACUUUGUACAUGGAAAUUGCUCAGAACAACGAGACGAAUCCGAAUACGUAGUCUGUUCGUUCACCACAUGGCCCUAGCAUAGAGAAUGUACAAUAAUCCACCUUUGGUCCGUCUGCCCGAAAAUGCGAAACACCGGGAAUACUUUCCCAAAUGCCCCCCCUUCGCGGGUAUCACCUACCACCGCGUUAGGGCACAACUAGCACCGCUCAUUGUCAUGUCAUACAUCGUCAUGCUUAUAUUUGCAUUAUUCUUAUUGUUUCUCCUCCCUCUUCUCUCGUUAGACACCGAGACUGACGCCGCUGCUAACCAGUACGACUACGGUGUUGACGACCCUUCUUCUUGUGCAACAGAGCUUCCAAGCAAGCCCCCCUUGAUCACCAGAUAUCGCCUAUUCUUUUUUCAACUGCUUGCAUUAGAGUACUGUAGCAUGUUACUACUUUCCGUUAAUCUUAUCCCGAUGCAUAGCCUGUCUAUGCUACUACUGUUGUUACCUUUACCUGCAAUCCUAAAUGUUUAGUAUAGGAUGCUAGUUUAUCAUCAGUGGCCCUACAUUCUUGUCCGUCUGUCAUGCUAUACUAUCG
rnacentral:lncRNA from 1 species